ACCUAUCUUUCUUCGGAUCUUCCAUCAACCUCUUGUUCUCCUCCCUCUUUUCCCAUACAACAUCGCGUAAGUCCACAAUAAGCCGCGUGAAAUAUGGUGUUGUCGGAUCAUCCAGCCAGUAGUACAAGUCACAACCACGAGUGCCACCAAUCUUGUGCAAUUUCAACAAAGGAUCCAAUAUGAGCAACCAAAACACGGCCAAUCAAAUGGAAUAAGCAAAAUGUUGCAAAAAUAUACUUGCCGAAACCUGCACUUGUGAUAUCUUCUUCCACUGUUGUCAUCACUCCAUGAAAUCCACCUUGGCAUUUUAGAUCCG
rnacentral:lncRNA from 1 species